CUCUGGGUCAAAUUACCCUGUCUGCUGAGAAGCACAACAGGCUAGAAAGAAACACAGAUGCUGGACAAAUGUUUCUGGCUGGAGACUGCCUAGUGCUGAAACCUCUGGAUACCCUCUCCCAAAACACUGCCUUCUCCUCCUGUCUGAGGGAACUGGGGCUCGGCGCUGCAGAUUUGGCCUCACUCUGAUCCUGUCCUAGCUGGAGGAGAGUUGGAUGGGCUCAUUAACUGCAUGUGCCUGCAAAGCAGAACGUCCUCAAGCCCAGGGUCCUGCAAAUGACUGAGCCAUUGAGGAGGAAACAUGCUUCGCACAGAUAUGCCAAGCUAUUGAUGCCUGCCAGACUGGAUACUGCACAUUACAUAUUGCAAGAAUAUUCAGAUAACACCUAUAACUCCACAAAAGCAUUGGUGCUUUAUUCUACUGCAGAGGCAGAAAAUGACAGAGACAUCCACCUCCCACGCUCUUCAUUUUCUGGGACUUCACUGAACCUGGAGCAAAGACUGUGAAGAGGAGAAAGACACAGUAACAGUACCUACAGGUGCACACUUAGGUUAUUCACUGUGGCCUGUACACUUAGAGGUGGCCACCAGAAUAACCACUCCCAGAGGAUGAUGAUUUGUAGGUAUAGAGGAAAAAGGCAGGUUUUUAAGGAGGAGUCUAAAGGGAUAAAAAUCAGUAACUGCUUGAGAGAUGCUACUUUAUUUAGUAAAGGGUGGCCUCAAUAAUCCAAGAAGAAGCUUUAACCUACCUUGCUUGAAUUCCUUCUGGCCAUUUGACAGUAGUGAGAUUUUAUUAAACCUACUGUGAGUUUGAGCCUUCUGAUUUUUUUUCUUUGAACAGCCUUUCUUCCUACUAAAGGUUGUUUUCUCACUUGUCCCUAGCAGAUACUCAUUACCUGCCACUCUCCUGUAGAGCUAUAAUUUUGCCAGAGUUGUGAUUAAUGAUGUUUCCACUUUAAUUAAAUACAGGGUUUCCAGUUUUUUGUAGAUUUUUCAGAACUCUUAACUGCAUUUAGUUUUUAGUGGAAUGUUCCAGUUCUGAACUGGAACUGGAAUAUAUGCAUGUCUAUGUUUUACUUAUUCAUAUGAGUACUUAUGGAUUUAAAUACAAAUAUGAACCAAAAUCUCUCACUGAUUGGUUUCAGGAAGGUGAAAGAACAAAGAAUGACUGUGUGACGGAAGGUGAAACCUGAAGUGUUCAAAGUCCUUCCUUUACUUGAUUUAAGAUGAAGUUUAGAAAAUCAGUCUUCAAAAUCCACAGAGAAGACCUAAAAUUUAGACUGAAAUAAUGCCUAAUAAUUCUUUUUCUGCAAUACAAGAGUUGGAUGGAGACAUAAACAAGAAGAACUAGUAGCCAAGUAAUGUGGAAAAGUUGCUGGAUUUUUGCACAGAAACCAUAAUGUAAAGUGGUAUGUAGGUCUGCCACAGUCCUGGGAAGUGCCCUCAUUAAAAGCUUUUUUAUGGUAUGCUGCAGAACUUGCUUUUCAUAUGAAACACUUGGAGAAUCUGGCUUAUGACCCAAAACAAAAUGAGAAAAAAAUAUUAAAUAUCCAAAAAUUAUGUAAUGUGGGAGAAUCACACCCUGCACACCUUUAACUAGGAGAAUUGAAGGAUUUUUGACACAUGUGAAUCUAUGCUCAAGAAUGGACAUCUACCCAUUGGAAAACACUGAUCUUUUUAAAAAUUUGAUUUUUGCCUUGAAGCCUAUGCAGAAGCCCAGAAACAGAACUGUCUGAAGGUCACUCGAAAUUGUAUCAACAAGUGACAAAGUCUGUGGCAGUGAAAUGUUGAUUUUGUGGAAGAUAACUGCAGACAUCAGUGCCUAAAUUUCUUAGUGUGUUGUACAUGAAAAGAGCAAAAUUCGUUUGCAUAGUCAAAAUAAGUUUAUGUACCAAUGUUGGGAAUGUGAAUGAGUUGGAAAUAGAUCUACUGAUGUUGUGAUACUAACAUGAAGCUUCCAAGGGCUGAUUUUCAGUACACAUGCAGUGAAAAUAAACUUAUAUUUGAGGGUUAAGGAAGUCAAUAAAGUUAAGGUUAAUAAAACUUGUUGGUAACAAGACUAUGCAAAAUGAAAUUGCAGGAAACAUUGGAAUGCUUUUAAUAAAUUGUAACAUUUUGGAUUUAGACCUCAAUGAAAUGCCUCUCUGAAUUUCACAGAAAUUUGUAAAAAUAGCAGAAGCAAAAUAAAUUCUUAGAAGUGUAAAAUAAAAUAAAGAAUUUAAACCACCUGAAACAGGUUGCUGAACUGACUAAAUCACCAUUCUUGGAUGAUGUCACCAAAGCAGAUGAACCCAGAUCUAUAAUAAACUUCAUAUCAAUAAUA